rnacentral:rRNA from 1 species
AUUGAACGCUGGCGGCAUGCUUUACACAUGCAAGUCGAGCGGCAGCGCGGGGGGCAACCCUGGCGGCGAGCGGCGAACGGGUGAGUAAUGCAUCGGAACGUAUCCUGUAGUGGGGAAUAACUCACCGAAAGGUGAGCUAAUACCGCAUAAGCUCUGAGGAGGAAAGCGGGGGACCGAAAGGCCUCGCGCUGCAGGAGCGGCCGAUGUCCGAUUAGCUAGUUGGUGAGGUAAAGGCUCACCAAGGCGACGAUCGGUAGCUGGUCUGAGAGGAUGAUCAGCCACACUGGGACUGAGACACGGCCCAGACUCCUACGGGAGGCAGCAGUGGGGAAUUUUGGACAAUGGGGGAAACCCUGAUCCAGCCAUGCCGCGUGAGUGAAGAAGGCCUUCGGGUUGUAAAGCUCUUUCGGUACGGAACGAAAUUAGCUUGGACUAAUACUCUGAGUAGAUGACGGUACCGUAAGAAGAAGACACCGGCUAACUACGUGCCAGCAGCCGCGGUAC